rnacentral:sRNA from 1 species
CUAAGCGGCAAAAGUAUAUUGCCAACAGGCAAGCUUGCUUGCAAUGUUGGCAAUUACUUUGGUCGCAACCCUAUACGAGCAAGGAGCGGGGAAGGGGUCCUGAGGAAUGCGAGUAUAGGGCAGGAUUGCGAGAGUGCGAAGCACGGAGCAAUCCGU